ensembl:ncRNA W10D5.4 ncRNA
AAAUGAAGUUGAUGGAGGAAAAUCGAGAUGUUUUGAUGAGGAUGAGGAAGGAGCAACAGAUGUAGAGGACAGAGGAUCAUUUCUGGAAAUAAAUACAUGAAAAAUAUACCAAAAUAUUCAAAAACCGUACCUUUGGUUC